rnacentral:rRNA from 1 species
GACGAACGCUGGCGGCGUGCCUAAUACAUGCAAGUUGAGCGAUGAAGCUUGGUGCUUGCCCCAAUUUGAAGAGCAGCGAACGGGUGAGUAACGCGUGGGGAAUCUGCCUUUGAGCGGGGGACAACAUUUGGAAACGAAUGCUAAUACCGCAUAACAACUUUAAACAUAAGUUUUAAGUUUGAAAGAUGCAAUUGCAUCGCUCAAAGAUGAUCCCGCGUUGUAUUAGCUAGUUGGUGAGGUAAAGGCUCACCAAGGCGAUGAUACAUAGCCGACCUGAGAGGGUGAUCGGCCACAUUGGGACUGAGACACGGCCCAAACUCCUACGGGAGGCAGCAGUAGGGAAUCUUCGGCAAUGGACGAAAGUCUGACCGAGCAACGCCGCGUGAGUGAAGAAGGUUUUCGGAUCGUAAAACUCUGUUGGUAGAGAAGAACGUUGGUGAGAGUGGAAAGCUCAUCAAGUGACGGUAACUACCCAGAAAGGGACGGCUAACUACGUG